rnacentral:rRNA from 1 species
GAUGAACGCUGGCGGCAUGCCUAAUACAUGCAAGUCGAGCGAACAGACGAGGAGCUUGCUCCUCUGGCGUUAGCGGCGGACGGGUGAGUAACACGUGGAUAACCUACCUAUAAGACUGGGAUAACUUCGGGAAACCGGAGCUAAUACCGGAUAAUAUAUUGAACCGCAUGGUUCAAUAGUGAAAGACGGUUUUGCUGUCACUUAUAGAUGGAUCCGCGCCGCAUUAGCUAGUUGGUAAGGUAACGGCUUACCAAGGCAACGAUGCGUAGCCGACCUGAGAGGGUGAUCGGCCACACUGGAACUGAGACACGGUCCAGACUCCUACGGGAGGCAGCAGUAGGGAAUCUUCCGCAAUGGGCGAAAGCCUGACGGAGCAACGCCGCGUGAGUGAUGAAGGUCUUCGGAUCGUAAAACUCUGUUAUUAGGGAAGAACAAAUGUGUAAGUAACUAUGCACGUCUUGACGGUACCUAAUCAGAAAGCCACGGCUAACUACGUG